rnacentral:rRNA from 1 species
GACAGAGGGUGCAAACGUUGUUCGGAAUUACUGGGCGUAAAGCGCGUGUAGGCGGCAGGGCAUGUCGGAUGUGAAAUCCCGUGGCUCAACCACGGAAGUGCACCCGAAACUGCCCAGCUUGGGUCUCGGAGAGGAAGGCGGAAUGCUUGGUGUAGAGGUGAAAUUCGUAGAUAUCAAGCGGAACACCGGUGGCGAAGGCGGCCUUCUGGACGAUGACUGACGCUGAGACGCGAAAGCGUGGGGAGCAAACAGG